GCAGGCGAGAAUUUUUCACAAUGGGGGAAACCCUGAUGGAGCGACGCCGCGUGGAGGAUGAAGGCCCUUGGGUUGUAAACUCCUGUCAUAAGGGAACAAGAAAGUGAUAGUACCUUAAGAGGAAGAGACGGCUAACUCUGUGCCAGCAGCCGCGGUAAUACAGAGGUCUCAAGCGUUGUUCGGAUUCAUUGGGCGUAAAGGGUGCGCAGGCUGUGUGGUAAGUCAGAUGUGAAAUUUAGAGGCUUAACCUCUAAACUGCAUUUGAUACUGCCAUGCUAGAGGACUGUAGAGGAGAUUGGAAUUCACGGUGUAGCAGUGAAAUGCGUAGAUAUCGUGAGGAAGACCGGUGGCGAAGGCGAAUCUCUGGGCAGUUCCUGACGCUCAUGCACGAAGGCUAGGGGAGCAAACGGGAUUAGAUACCCCCGUAGUCC
rnacentral:rRNA from 1 species